AGUGAACGCUGGCGGUAGGCCUAACACAUGCAAGUCGAACGGCAGCACAGUAAGAGCUUGCUCUUACGGGUGGCGAGUGGCGGACGGGUGAGGAAUACAUCGGAAUCUACUUUUUCGUGGGGGAUAACGUAGGGAAACUUACGCUAAUACCGCAUACGACCUACGGGUGAAAGCAGGGGAUCUUCGGACCUUGCGCGAUUGAAUGAGCCGAUGUCGGAUUAGCUAGUUGGCGGGGUAAAGGCCCACCAAGGCGACGAUCCGUAGCUGGUCUGAGAGGAUGUUAGGCCACAUUGAAACGGAGCCACGGCCCAGCCUCCUACGGAAGGAAGAGGUGGGAAAAUUUGGCAAAUGGCGCAAGCCUGAUCCAGCCAUACCGCGUGGGUGAAGAAGGCCUUCGGGUUGUAAAGCCCUUUUGUUGGGAAAGAAAAGCAGCAGGUUAAUACCCCGCUGUUCUGACGGUACCCAAAGAAUAAGCACCGGCUAACUUCGUG
rnacentral:rRNA from 1 species